rnacentral:rRNA from 1 species
GAUGAACGCUGGCGGCGUGCCUAAUACAUGCAAGUCGAGCGAACAGACGAGGAGCUUGUGCUUCUGACGAUAGCGGAGGACGGGAGAGUCACACGUGGAUCACCUACCUAUCAGUCUGGGAAAAUCUCGGGAAACCGGCUCUAAUCGCGGAUAAUAUACUGAACCGUAUGGUUCAAUAGCGAAUGACGGCUUUGCUGUCUCUUAUAGCUGGUUCCGCGCUGCAUUAGCUAGUGGGUAAGGUCACGGCUUUCCAAGGCAACGCGGCGUAGCCGACCGGAGAGAGGGAUAGACGACACGAGAACGGAGACACGGUCCAGGCUCCUACGGGAGGCACCAGAAGGGAAUCUGCCGCAAUAGGCGAAAGCAUGACAGAGCCACACCGCGUGAGUGAAGAAGGUCUUCGGAUCGUAAUACUCUCUUAUUAGUGAAAAACAGCUGUAGAAUUAAAUGUAGCCGGCGUGACGGUACCUAAUCAAAAAGCAACGGCUAACUACGUG